rnacentral:rRNA from 1 species
GAUUAACGCGAAGAACCUUACCUGGUCUUGACAUCCACGGAAGUUUUCAGAGAUGAGAAUGUGCCUUCGGGAACCGUGAGACAGGUGCUGCAUGGCUGUCGUCAGCUCGUGUUGUGAAAUGUUGGGUUAAGUCCCGCAACGAGCGCAACCCUUAUCCUUUGUUGCCAGCGGUCCGGCCGGGAACUCAAAGGAGACUGCCAGUGAUAAACUGGAGGAAGGUGGGGAUGAUGUCAAGUCAUCAUGGCCCUUACGACCAGGGCUACACACGUGCUACAAUGGCGCAUACAAAGAGAAGCGACCUCGCGAGAGCAAGCGGACCUCAUAAAGUGCGUCGUAGUCCGGAUUGGAGUCUGCAACUCGACUCCAUGAAGUCGGAAUCGCUAGUAAUCGUGGAUCAGAAUGCCACGGUGAAUACGUUCCCGGGCCUUGUACACACCGAAUC